GUGUCAGCCGCCGCGGUAAUACGGAGGGUGCGAGCGUUAAUCGGAAUUACUGGGCGUAAAGGGCGCGUAGGCGGUCGCGCAAGUCGGGUGUGAAAGCCCCGGGCUCAACCUGGGAAUUGCAUUCGAUACUGCGUAACUAGAGUCUGGUAGAGGGAAGCGGAAUUCCGCAUGUAGCGGUGAAAUGCGUAGAUAUGCGGAGGAACACCAGUGGCGAAGGCGGCUUCCUGGACCAAGACUGACGCUGAGGCGCGAAAGCGUGGGGAGCAAACAGGAUUAGAUACCCUGGUAGUCCACGCCCUAAACGAUGAGGACUAGACGUUGGGGGGAUAAAACCCUUUAGUGUCGCAGCUAACGCGUGAAGUCCUCCGCCUGGGGAGUACGGCCGCAAGGUUGAAACUCAAAUGAAUUGGCGG
rnacentral:rRNA from 1 species